GACGAACGCUGGCGGCGUGCUUAACACAUGCAAGUCGAACGGUGAAGCGCCUUCCUUUUUGGUGGGUGUGGAUGAGUGGCGAACGGGUGAGUAACACGUGAGUAACCUGCCCCCUUCUUCUGGUUAACCGCAUGAAAGUGUGGCUAAUACGGGAUAUUCUGGGUCUGUCGCAUGAUGGGUCUGGGAAAGAUAUUGUUUCGGUGGGGGAUGGGCUCGCGGCCUAUCAGCUUGUUGGUGGGGUGAUGGCCUACCAAGGCGGUGACGGGUAGCCGGCCUGAGAGGGUGGACGGUCACACGGGGACUGAGACACGGCCCAGACUCCUACGGGAGGCAGCAGUGGGGAAUAUUGCACAAUGGGCGCAAGCCUGAUGCAGCGACGCCGCGUGAGGGAUGGAGGCCUUCGGGUUGUGAACCUCUUUCGCCAGUGAAGCAGGCCUGCCUCGUUUGUGGGUGGGUUGACGGUAGCUGGAUAAGAAGCGCCGGCUAACUACGUG
rnacentral:rRNA from 1 species